rnacentral:rRNA from 1 species
GACAGAGGGGGGCAAGCGUUGCUCGGAAUUACUGGGCGUAAAGGGCGCGUAGGCGGAAUGGGCAAGUCGGUCGUGAAAUCCUUCGGCUCACCGAAGAACGUCGAUCGAAACUGCCGUUCUUGAGGAUUGCAGAGGAGACUGGAAUUCCCGGUGUAGCGGUGAAAUGUGUAGAGAUCGGGAGGAACACCGGUGGCGAAGGCGGGUCUCUGGGCAAUUCCUGACGCUGAGGCGCGAAGGCCAGGGGAGCGAAACGGG